AUGCAAGUCGAGCGGGGAAAGGUAGCUUGCUACCUAACCUAGCGGCGGACGGGUGAGUAAUGCUUAGGAAUCUGCCUAUUAGUGGGGGACAACAUCUCGAAAGGGAUGCUAAUACCGCAUACGUCCUACGGGAGAAAGCAGGGGACCUUCGGGCCUUGCGCUAAUAGAUGAGCCUAAGUCGGAUUAGCUAGUUGGUGGGGUAAAGGCCUACCAAGGCGACGAUCUGUAGCGGGUCUGAGAGGAUGAUCCGCCACACUGGGACUGAGACACGGCCCAGACUCCUACGGGAGGCAGCAGUGGGGAAUAUUGGACAAUGGGGGGAACCCUGAUCCAGCCAUGCCGCGUGUGUGAAGAAGGCCUUUUGGUUGUAAAGCACUUUAAGCGAGGAGGAGGCUACCGAGAUUAAUACUCUUGGAUAGUGGACGUUACUCGCAGAAUAAGCACCGGCUAACUCUGUGCCAGCAGCCGCGGUAAUACAGAGGGUGCAAGCGUUAAUCGGAUUUACUGGGCGUAAAGCGCGCGUAGGUGGCCAAUUAAGUCAAAUGUGAAAUCCCCGAGCUUAACUUGGGAAUUGCAUUCGAUACUGGUUGGCUAGAGUAUGGGAGAGGAUGGUAGAAUUCCAGGUGUAGCGGUGAAAUGCGUAGAGAUCUGGAGGAAUACCGAUGGCGAAGGCAGCCAUCUGGCCUAAUACUGACACUGAGGUGCGAAAGCAUGGGGAGCAAACAGGAUUAGAUACCCUGGUAGUCCAUGCCGUAAACGAUGUCUACUAGCCGUUGGGGCCUUUGAGGCUUUAGUGGCGCAGCUAACGCGAUAAGUAGACCGCCUGGGGAGUACGGUCGCAAGACUAAAACUCAAAUGAAUUGACGGGGGCCCGCACAAGCGGUGGAGCAUGUGGUUUAAUUCGAUGCAACGCGAAGAACCUUACCUGGUCUUGACAUAGUAAGAACUUUCCAGAGAUGGAUUGGUGCCU
rnacentral:rRNA from 1 species